UUUUAAUUAUUAGGUAACACGAAUUACAAUAUCUGUUGCAUAUAGCUUAGAUAUCACUUAGUUGUUAACCAUGUUUACGACUCUUGAAAAAAAGAAAAAAUACUCUGUAUUUAAACAAAUACAUUUAACGCGAAGAAUUUUUUAAAAUAACAACACGGAUUGUUCAAAUUACUUUUACAAUAAUUUUACGUAAAAAAAAAUAAUCCUUGUAACGAAAAUACUGGUGUUCCCCUUUUAACGUGUAGUACGAUUUCGACCACUUAACCUCAAAUCGAUCGUGCAAGUAUCGUGCGCGAGACGUGGACGUGUGUGAAACGUAGGAAAAAUGGACGCACGUUAAUUGACGUGAAACGGGAAGUGAAAAGAUCGUUUCCCUUCUAUUUAGCCGCGGAGAACCGCGAUUCAUAGGCAUCAAGAAACGACUCGCGGUUUAACGUGACAUCUGGCGCGAGACCGAGCGAAAUGUCAGCCCGAUGAAUUUGCAUCUCCUAAAUGCCACUGCGUGAAAUCGGUCUCGCGAAAUUCCUCGCUCGAUCGAAACUUGCUUCUUCUUUUUCUUUUUCUUUUCUUUUGCUUUCUUUUUUUAACUCGAUAGUAAAAUUUUAUUUCGAAACAACUACUGACAAGAAAAAUUAACGUCCACGACUGUUAUCGCUUUUUACAUAAUACUUCGGUUGAGGCUAGGUUAGGUUUUCUAGAUUAAUUAAGAAGGGAACUUAACUGGCCACUUUGGACGGUUGUCGUUUUUAACGCGCGUUAGGUUAGGUUAGCUUCAAUAUGAAUUCGAUGUGUACAUAAACAAACAUAUUUAGACUCUUUCAACUGUUCGCUGUUGAACGUUAACCCAACAAUUGAAAAAAAAAAAGGAAAAGGAACGACCUCGACCGAUUCACUAAACUACGACACACGAUUCGUGCGAUACGAUCCUGAUAAAAAUUGAAGUCGAUUCUUUUCAAGGGUCAACGAAUCCCGACAAGGUAAAAGCAGAAACGAGACGUGCAAUGGAAGCAAGCAUGGCUGUCGCGUCCCUCUUGAAAAGAAACGCGUAUACGAACAUGGAUAUUCAGCGGACAUCGUGCGUUCUUUCAUCUCUCUUUCUCUUUCUCUCUUUCUCCCUCUUAGACCGAGUUCUCGAGGAUGGAGGGGAAAAAAACGAAAGAAAAAACGGAGGAAAAAGAUGAACGAUAAUCCUCGAGUUCUCCUCGCUAUUCCAAAGGAAUAUUAAACGGAGACAGAGCUAAUGGAAGUCGAGAACUUAGGCGAAUGUCUAUAAUGCUUUCUAAAACUGUUAUUUAUCGCGACACACGUAUCUCGUUUUGGAUUUAUCGUACAAUGUUUAUCUCGGCUUCGACUGGUCAUCGACGAACACGCGAAUAGCUCGACUUUGGUCGCAACCAGUCCCUUUUGUGAUCUUGAAUUUUCUUGAGAAAAUUUAUCCUUCCUUUUUCUUAUUCGAUCUCGAUACGAAAGGUUCUUUUGCGAAAUUUUGUUUCUAAAGAACAAUUUGGCUAUUUGAAUUAUCCAAUUCUAUAAUAAAUACCGAGAAUUUGUGACAAAUAAGAAUGGUAAAAAUAAAACUAUCCGUAUUAUUUUAAUAAAAUAUACGUUCGCUUAAAAA